GAUGAACGCUGGCGGCGUGCCUAAUACAUGCAAGUCGAGCGAACAGAUGAGGAGCUUGCUCCUCUGACGUUAGCGGCGGACGGGUGAGUAACACGUGGAUCACCUACCUAUAAGACUGGGAUCACUUCGGGAAACCGGAGCUAAUACCGGAUAAUAUAUUGAACCGCAUGGUUCAAUAGUGAAAGACGGUUUUGCUGUCACUUAUAGCUGGAUCCGCGCCGCAUUAGCUAGUUGGUAAGGUAACGGCUUACCAAGGCAACGAUGCGUAGCCGACCUGAGAGGGUGAUCGGCCACACGGGAGCUGAGACACGGUCCAGACUCCUACGGGAGGCAGCAGUAGGGAAUCUGCCGCAGUGGGCGAAAGCCUGACGGAGCAACGCCGCGUGAGUGAUGAAGGUCUUCGGAUCGUAAAACUCUGUUAUUAGGGAAGAACAAAUGUGUAAGUAACUAUGCACGUCUUGACGGUACCUAAUCAGAAAGCCACGGCUAACUACGUG
rnacentral:rRNA from 1 species